GCUGUGAUGGCCGAGUGGUUAAGGCGUUGGACUUGAAAUCCAAUGGGGUUUCCCCGCGCAGGUUCGAGCCCUGCUCGCAGCG
rfam:Oreochromis niloticus linkage group LG9, whole genome shotgun sequence.